AUCCAGCAGACGAGUCUCAAAUAGGACGAAACGCGCGUUCUUGAU
rnacentral:hammerhead_ribozyme from 1 species